GACGAACGCUGGCGGCGUGCCUAAUACAUGCAAGUCGAACGCUUUUUCUUUCACCGGAGCUUGCUCCACCGAAAGAAAAAGAGUGGCGAACGGGUGAGUAACACGUGGGUAACCUGCCCAUCAGAAGGGGAUAACACUUGGAAACAGGUGCUAAUACCGUAUAACACUAUUUUCCGCAUGGAAGAAAGUUGAAAGGCGCUUUUGCGUCACUGAUGGAUGGACCCGCGGCGCAUUAGCUAGUUGGUGAGGUAACGGCUCACCAAGGCAACGAUGCAUAGCCGACCUGAGAGGGUGAUCGGCCACACUGGGACUGAAACACGGCCCAGACUCCUACGGGAGGCAGCAGUAGGGAAUCUUCGGCAAUGGACGAAAGUCUGACCGAGCAACGCCGCGUGAGUGAAGAAGGUUUUCGGAUCGUAAAACUCUGUUGUUAGAGAAGAACAAGGAUGAGAGUAAAAUGUUCAUCCCUUGACGGUAUCUAACCAGAAAGCCACGGCUAACUACGUGCCAGCCGCCGCAGUAA
rnacentral:rRNA from 1 species